rnacentral:lncRNA from 1 species
AUUCUGGUUGCCUUACCCAGCUCUGAAGUCUGUCAGCCUCUUCAGAUGUCACUUGCCCUGUGGUAAGGAAGUGUAGUUGGCAGCUGGUGCAGUGGCAAGAAGAGAAAGGAAGUUCCCCAAGACAGAAACAUCUCAGCAGACCGUGAUCAUGGGCUACAUUCUCCAUACCAGCUUCAUAGCUCCAGUGAGAAAAUAAAUUCCUGCACCCAGGAGACGUGGAGUAAGAGAUACAGCUGCCCUUGACCAUAUUUCUUACUUCCGAGAAGAUUGUAG